rnacentral:rRNA from 1 species
UACAGAGGUCUCAAGCGUUGUUCGGAUUCAUUGGGCGUAAAGGGUGCGUAGGCGGCGCGGUAAGUCGGGUGUGAAAUCUCGGAGCUUAACUCCGAAACUGCAUUCGAUACUGCCGUGCUUGAGGACUGGAGAGGAGACUGGAAUUUACGGUGUAGCGGUGAAAUGCGUAGAUAUCGUAAGGAAGACCAGUGGCGAAGGCGGGUCUCUGGACAGUACCUGACGCUGAUGCACGAAAGCUGGGGGAGCAAACAGG